AAUCUCCUACGGGGCGCAGCAGUGAGGAAUAUUGGUCAAUGGGCGGGAGCCUGAACCAGCCAAGCCGCGUGAGGGAAGAAGGUACAGCGUAUCGUAAACCUCUUUUGUCAGGGCACAACGGCGGGGACUAGUCCCCGGAUGAGGGUACCUGAAGAAAAAGCAUCGGCUAACUCCGUGCCAGCAGCCGCGGUAAUACUGAGGAUGCGAGCGUUAUCCGGAUUUAUUGGGUUUAAAGGGUGCGCAGGCGGCCUGUUAAGUCAGCGGUACAAGCCCGGGGCUC
rnacentral:rRNA from 1 species